UGAUAAGAACUUAAACAAUGAUCUAAUAUUAUAGAUGUUUUUUAAGUUUGAUUUAAAUUUGAAUGAUCAAUGUAAAAUGACUGAUAUGACGAUGAUUAUAUUAACAGAUGGGAAGAACACCAUUUCAUUACGCAGGAGGGAAACAUGAUGGUGGACAUAUGUAUGAACUUCUAAAGGAGGCUGGAGGGAUGAAACUAUCAAAGAUAUUGUAAGUUUACAGUGUGUGAACACCAUUAAAUCAAUGUUGAUUCAAUUAGCAAUGUCCUAUAUUCUUUCCAUUGUUCCUGUGAUGAUACAUUGCACCAAAUAUCUGUUUUCUUUCCCAGUGCAAGUAAAUUUCUUAAUCAAUUUAGCAAAUUUCAGGAUGAAAAUAAAAUUAUUUGUGUUUUCUUAGAAUUCAGAGUGAAACUGAUGAUUUGUAUGUAAUUUCAGAAUGGCUGCACACCAAAAGAUUACUAUGAUUGAUCAAUGAAAAAUUGGAGUUGUAGCUUUGAAGGAAAAACUCAAAGAAUCCUUGGAUAGUGAUGUUU
rnacentral:lncRNA from 1 species